UACAGAGACUGCAAGCGUUAUUCGGAUUCACUGGGCGUAAAGGGUGCGCAGGCGGCCAAGUGUGUGAGGCGUGAAAGCCCGGGGCUUAACCCCGGAAUUGCACCUCAAACUACAUGGCUAGAGCAUUGGAGAGGGUAGCGGAAUUCACGGUGUAGCAGUGAAAUGCGUAGAUAUCGUGAGGAACACCAGAGGCGAAGGCGGCUGCCUGGACAAUUGCUGACGCUCAGGCACGAAAGCGUGGGGAGCAAAAGGG
rnacentral:rRNA from 1 species